rnacentral:rRNA from 1 species
CGGAGGGUGCAAGCGUUAAUCGGAAUUACUGGGCGUAAAGGGUUCGUAGGUGGUUUAUUAAGUUAUUUGUAAAAUCCCUGGGCUUAACCUGGGCAGGUCAGAUAAUACUGGUAGACUCGAGUAUGGGAGAGGGUAGUGGAAUUUCCGGUGGUAGCGGUGAAAUGCGUAGAGAUCGGAAGGAACACCAGUGGCGAAGGCGGCUACCUGGCCUAAUACUGACACUGAGGAACGAAAGCGUGGGGAGCAAACAGGAUUAGAUACCCUGGUAGUCCACGCCGUAAACGAUGUCAACUAGCUGUUGGUCAUAUUGAUAUGAUUAGUGGCGCAGCAAACGCGAUAAGUUGACCGCCUGGGGAGUACGGUCGCAAGAUUA